rnacentral:rRNA from 1 species
UACGAAGGGUGCAAGCGUUACUCGGAAUUACUGGGCGUAAAGCGUGCGUAGGCGGCUCGUUAAGUCUGAUGUGAAAGCCCUGGGCUCAACCUGGGAAUGGCAUUGGAAACUGGCGACCUAGAGUGCGGUAGAGGGUAGUGGAAUUCCCGGUGUAGCGGUGAAAUGCGUAGAGAUCGGGAGGAACACCUGUGGCGAAGGCGGCCGUCUGGGCCGACCCUGACGCUGAGGCGCGAAAGCGUGGGGAGCAAACGGG